rnacentral:lncRNA from 1 species
GGAAAACACUGGAUAUUUCUUUUUCGUGGCGUGCUUUUGGCUGCGCACAAAGGCCUGUUGACAAACCGAUGCACACUCCUGUGCUUAAGGACGCUACAAGCAUUAACAUUUCAUUCUCUGCAGUGGCUGUUGCGGAGCAACACAGUAUGGGCGUGAACAUGGGGGACGAUUCUUGGAGGAGACUCAGCAACAAGUUUGCAGUUCAUGUCUUUCAGAGGCGAGCCUUGUAGGGCCAACAUUUCAACGCUUCGCAGAGAUGAAACUCAUUUUCUUCCGGUAAAAUCUAUAUGCCUUGGUGGAGAAAUGAGAUUCUUACGGAAUACUGCUGUGUGUCUCUGGGUGCAGUAUACCGUACCCUUCAGUGACCUUGAACUCCGUACACUGGCAAAAUAAAGUGCCUGAACCAAG